UGAGCCUACGGGGGGCAGCAGUGGGGAAUAUUGCACAAUGGGGGAAACCCUGAUGCAGCGACGCCGCGUGAGCGAAGAAGUAUUUCGGUAUGUAAAGCUCUAUCAGCAGGGAAGAAGAAAGACGGUACCUGACUAAGAAGCCCCGGCUAACUACGUGCCAGCAGCCGCGGUAAUACGUAGGGGGCAAGCGUUAUCCGGAUUUACUGGGUGUAAAGGGAGCGUAGACGGCUGUGCAAGU
rnacentral:rRNA from 1 species